AAAAGAGUAGUUCAACUUCGUCUUUCCGACAUGGGACUGUCAGGUUUCAUAGAUUCUCAGAUUGGAAACCUUUCCUUCCUUCAAUCUCUUCAACUUCAAAACAAUUAUUUCACAGGAUCAAUCCCUAUACAAAUCCAUCAUCUUUUGCACCUGAGAAUUGUAAACAUUAGUUCCAACAACUUACAGGGAGAGAUAAUUUCCGUGAACUUCAGCUCAAUGCCUGCCCUGGAGAUUCUUGACUUGUCAUCAAAUAAGAUCACAGGUCGACUUCCUGAACAGUUGGGUUAUUUAACCAAACUGAAAGUCUUG
rnacentral:lncRNA from 1 species